rnacentral:tRNA from 1 species
GAUAGGGUCAGCUAAGUUAAGCUUUCGGGCCCAUACCCCGAACACGAUGGUUAAAGUCCCUCCCCUAUCA